CUCAUUCAACCGAUUCGUUAAAAAUGCUUAUACAUUCAGGUGACUGUCUUUAUGAGUGAGUCAUUUGAAUCAUUCAUCCAACCGAUUCGUUCAAACCGUUCAUUCAUUCAGGAAGGGGAAAAAAAGAGUGUCGGUGCAGUAACCGUCAUUUUUGUUGGGGAAUAUUUUCGUUGGCUAACCAAAACAGACAAGUAACUAGCGAUUUGGGGUUUAAAAGGCAAAGCAAGCUCAGAGCAGGGUAAACAUCGGCUCAGGGCGUAGACACACGGCGAGAUCCAGAGGAAAGAGCGCUCAUCACACGCCGGGAUGCAGAAAGGCAUCUGGUCCGCCGCACAAUUACCACUCUGUCCAUCACGGGUCUCAUCACCGGAGGCUUUUCUCACCCGCCGCAGAUGCAUUUAUUCUCCUCUUGGCCUGUCUGUGUAUUCAGCCUCGACAGCUGCAAAUAGACAACAGUUAUCCAGAUGAGACGAAACAGGUGUCAAAGGAAGGACGAAAGGUGUUCUUGCACCGAGAAAACAACCAAUUAGUUGAUGUAUUCCACUGGGAGGGCAGAAGGUGAAGAUCCCAUUGCUGUUACACCUGAGGCAGCUGGUUGAACCCCUUCAGCUGCAGACGUUACAACACCGCCUCCUCUGACAGGAGCCAACUCCUGAUUGAGCUGCACUUUUGUGCGGCGUCAUUAUCGUUAAAUAAGCUGCUGUCUCCCUGCCUAAUGAAGACUGAGAUCAUUCAAGCAGGACAUUAUGAAUAAGGAGCAGCAGAGGAAUGAGCCGCCCAACAUCAUCAAGAUGGCAGCCGCCCACCCUACAAAGAGGGCGGGGCCAAACUCGUACCUGAAAGACAGAGAUUCCACGCCUUUAUUUAAAAACAUAACAACCAGGCUUCGCAGAAAGUGAAAUGUGACCAGACUAGCCAUUUCCUGUUUACUACUGCAUGUCAGAUGGGUCAGAAGUGAUACAGCGGCCAAGGACCAGAACAGACCUCAAGAAUGUGGAGGAUAAUGGAGGAAUGUCAAUUUAUUUACCAAAACUAAUUUACACUGAAUGAUUUACGUGACUGAGAUUGCUGACUGGCCCAAGUCAAGAGUCCACUGCCAAGGAUCAAUAUAACAGCACACCUCUCCUCAACAAGUCACAUGAUUUGAGACUUAAUUACAAGGAAAAUACUUCCAGGCAGUUUUUGAAGAAUAUUUCAUUGCUUAUGAAGGGAGCAUUUGAAUAUGGUGGUUAAUACAACAUGGACUACAACACCGCCCUCUUUCAAUCUAUGACAG